rnacentral:rRNA from 1 species
UAGGGCAUGGCGGGCGUGCUAUACAUGCAGUCGAGCGGACCUCUUCGGAGGUCAGCGGCGGACGGGUGAGUAACACGUGGGCAACCUGCCUGUAAGACUGGGAUAACUCCGGGAAACCGGAGCUAAUACCGGAUACUAUGUCAAACCGCAUGGUUUGACAUUCAAAGACGGUUUCGGCUGUCACUUACAGAUGGGCCCGCGGCGCAUUAGCUAGUUGGUGAGGUAAUGGCUCACCAAGGCGACGAUGCGUAGCCGACCUGAGAGGGUGAUCGGCCACACUGGGACUGAGACACGGCCCAGACUCCUACGGGAGGCAGCAGUAGGGAAUCUUCCGCAAUGGACGAAAGUCUGACGGAGCAACGCCGCGUGAGUGAUGAAGGUUUUCGGAUCGUAAAACUCUGUUGUCAGGGAAGAACAAGUGCCGGAGUAACUGCCGGCGCCUUGACGGUACCUGACCAGAAAGCCACGGCUAACUACGUGCCAGCAGCCGCGGUAAU